CGCUCUAAAGUCUCCCAGGUGGGUACAUCAGCUCGACACACAGAUGUUGUCACCCUGACGGCAGCGUUGCCACACCGCGAGUGUAAAUUGCAUCCUGGUAAAUACAAUAACUAUUGCACCUUUUUCCAAGACAAGCAGGCAAAGUCUUAAAUCAUGGCGCUGGUCACGUUGCUCAAGGAUCGCAGGCUGCCUGUGUGCCUGCUCUUCCUCCUGACGCUGCGCAGGUAGUUCCUGUACAGCAUCACGCUGAUCACCCUGUCCUGGAACUGCUUUGAGACGAUGUAAUACAGAAUGACGUCCAGAACCGUGCUCAGGUUCAUGAGGAACGUGGAGAACACGGCCCACGUCCAGAAGACCUCGUCUUGGUCCAUGCCCAUCAAGUGCAGCACCAAGCACACGUGAAACGGCACAAAACAAACCAUAACCUGCAGGAUGAGCGUGAUGAUGAUCUUAAUGGACUUCCUCUUCACUUUGGGUUUCAGCUUGGAGGUGCGCCCGUGGAUCAGGUUGUCCACGACCACCACGUAGCAACCAAUCAUGACGCAGAUGGGCAGCAGGAAGAAGAAGACCACGCGGGCGAAGUUGACGGAGUCUUGGCGUCGCAGGUAGAUGACAUCCUGCAUUUUGAAGCAGGUGGUGAAGUUGCUGUCGUGUUCGUCCCCAACCGAGAAAAGCAACGGGGCGGUGCCGCCCAGGGUCAUUAGCCACGCCCCGGCACACGCUGCCACCGUCUUGGGCACGUUCCUCAGCUCCUUGGCAUGCUUGGGCUGCACAAUGGCCAUGUAUCGGUCGGCGCUGAUGAGAGUGAAGAGCCACAUGGCGAUGCAAGGGUAGAAGACCGUGAGGGCGGCGCUGAUGCGGCAGAAAAUAUCGCCGAGGGGCCAGAAGUCCCAGUGGAGGUAGAACAUCCGGAAGGGGAGAAGCAGGAUGAAGGGCGAAAACCCAUAAAGCGCUGAGGUUGACCAUAACGCCGCUGAUGAAGAUGAAGCAAUAGAAGACCAGGCCAGCCGUGCGGUACUCAUCCGGAAGCCGAGAUGAGUUAGGAGGGAGUGUCGUGGUCAUUGCAGCUCAAAUUCUGCAGAAAAAACAGCAAGAAAUGCGACACCAGCUGUAGGUGCGUGCGCCGCCGCUAGCAGGGCACCAAUAGAGGACUCUGCUGGCAGCGCACUCAAACUCGUUCUGACUCGUGCUGAGUGCAGCACGCCCGAGCAGCAACAAGUCUGCAUCCGGUCAAGAAUCAACACACCUGGAUUUGAUGAGAGGGAGCAGCAUAAAAGCCAGCAGACCCAGGAACCUUUGCCAGAACGUCGCUAUCUCCUCAUGACUCCCCUGUCUUCCGUGAUCAUACCUUGCCUCUCGACAUCCAUCCGGAUUCCUAACUGCCUUCCUCGAUCCACGACCUCCCUGCUCAGACCCAGACCACGCUGCCUCGCUCCUGCCCCGACAUCUUGCCUGCUCACGAACUGCCUCUUCGCCUUGCCCCUCUGGAUUCGACGAAGGAUACAACCAACACUCACAGACAACAAACCCUGGUAACAUUUACAUCAUUAAUAUUACACAUAGUCAUCACUCAUUCACUUAGAGUAGCAUACACACG